GACGAACGCUGGCGGCGUGCCUAAUACAUGCAAGUAGAACGCUGAAGGAGGAGCUUGCUCUUCUGGAUGAGUUGCGAACGGGUGAGUAACGCGUAGGUAACCUGCCUGGUAGCGGGGGAUAACUAUUGGAAACGAUAGCUAAUACCGCAUAACAGUAGAUGUUGCAUGACAUUUACUUAAAAGGUGCAAUUGCAUCACUACCAGAUGGACCUGCGUUGUAUUAGCUAGUUGGUGGGGUAACGGCUCACCAAGGCGACGAUACAUAGCCGACCUGAGAGGGGGAUCGGCCACACUGGGACUGAGACACGGCCCAGACUCCUACGGGAGGCAGCAGUAGGGAAUCUUCGGCAAUGGACGGAAGUCUGACCGAGCAACGCCGCGUGAGUGAAGAAGGGUUUCGGAUCGUAAAGCUCGGUUGUAAGAGAAGAACGAGUGUGAGAGUGGAAAGUUCACACUGUGACGGUAUCUUACCAGAAAGGGACGGCUAACUACGUG
rnacentral:rRNA from 1 species